AUCACUUUUCGAGUCGAUGAUGAGCAUGAGUUUUCUGCCUCUGUUCGUGUUGGCCAAUCUACUACUCUCGUUAUGUUUGAUGUUCAUUGAGGCCACGAGGUAUCGUCGAGCUCUAAACAUUAAAUUAAGCACUUGUUGGGAGGUAACCCAAUUGUUUUCUUGUUUUUCUUUUCCUUUUUCCUUUUUCCUUUUUCUUGUGGUUCUUUUUAUUUUCUUUGUCUUGCCUAGUUGUUAUGUAGAAAAGAUCGCAAUAGAGUUUGGGUGAUGUGGAGUUUUUGAGCCUCAUUCAUACCACCAUCUUGGAGCAUGUUUUUCAACAAAUUCAAUGUUUUUCUUCUUUUCGCCUUUGUCAUGUCUCUAACCCAUCUCAAAGGUUCUUAGAGAACCAAUCAGUUUGUGCAAAGACAUUUUAGAAAGAUCUCUGCUUUUUUUCAAUAGUUAUAGUUUUGACAUCAUACUUUUCAGUUAUAGAUCUCAUCACCUUUCACACGAGCUUGUAUUAGGAAAC
rnacentral:lncRNA from 1 species